GUACCGUAGAUAGCCUGNAGNNGACUUUCUAUACGUUGUAGGCUUUGCCUGCUAUCUGUCCCCAUGAUCGUCUGAUACCUUCGUUUCCCCGGGGGGUCCGCCCGCCGAUUGGACACGUUUAAACCCUUUGUAGUUGCAAGCAGCGUCUGAAAAACUUUAAUAAUUAGAACUUUCAACAACGGAUCUGUUGGUUUUGGCAUCUUUGAAGAACGCAUCGAAGGGCUAUAAGUAGUGUGAAUUGCAGAAUUCAGUGAAUCAACAAAUCUUUGAACGCACAUUGCGCCCCUUGGUAUUCCAUGGGGCAUGCCUGUUCGAGCGUCAUUUGUACCUUCAAGCUUUGCUUGGUGUUGGGUGUUUGUCUCGCCUCUGCGCGCAGACUCGCCUCAGAACAAUUGGCAGCCGGCGUAUUGAUUUCGGAGCGCAGUACAUCUCGCGCUUUGCACUCAUAACGACCACUUCCAAAAAGUACAUUUUUUACACUCUUGACCUCGGAUCAGGUAGGGAUACCCGCUGAACUUAAGCAUAUCAAUAAGCGGAGGAAAGAAAACCCAACCAUGAGUGAGGCGAACCGGGGGAACUGAAACAUCUAAGUGCGCCAAGGAAAACAGAUCCCACCAUAAACUCACUAUCAUUAAUCUGAAUCCUUAGGUGAGUGAGGCGGAACCAGCUGGAACUUCUUCAUCUCCGUACCGCGAAGCAAAACAAACAAAAACCANAA
rnacentral:rRNA from 1 species